CGUUUUUUUCUUCUUCUUGGGCUAGUACCGUUUUGAUUGCUCGUGCUUUGUCUAGGGCACAAAUCUUUAUUUUUCUCUAAAUUUUUAUAUUAUCAUGCUUCUUUGCUAGCUUUUCCAUUGAUGAUAGUGAUUUUCAUCAUCAUUUGUUCCUUCAUCCUUCCGAUACACCAAGAAUGAUCAUUGUUUCUCAUCGUUUGACCGGUGUUGAAAAUUAUACUGUCUGGAGUUGUUCGCUUCAAAUUGCUUUACCUGUAAAGAACAAACUCGGCUUCGUUGAUGGUGUUUGCCUGCGUUCGGCUUAUCUUGAAUCUCUGCAUGCUCAAUGGGAUUAGUGUAAUGCCUUCGUGCUUUCCUGGCUUCUCAACACUGUUAGUUCAGAUUUGUCUGCGGGGCUCGUCUUUGCUUCUGAUUCUGCGGUGGUUUGGAAAGAUCUCAAGGAUCGAUUAAGCAAAGUAGACGGUUCCCGUAUUUUAUUUCUCCAUCGAUCAAUUGCGCAUCUUACUCAAGGUGAUGCUACUGUUUCCUCUUAUUUCACGCAAUUAAAGUUGCUUUGGGAUGAAUACACUGCUCUUGUCUCUUUUUCCGAUUGUGCAUGCGAGGUUGCCCAUCAAAAUUCGAGUCACAUUCAUCAACAGUGAUUAUUCCAAUUUUUGAUGGGUCUAAAUGAGACCUAUGCUGCAGUUCGAAGCCAGAUUCUCUUGAUGCAGCCUUUACCCUCGAUAAAUCAGGCAUACUCUAUGAUUGUUCAAGAAGAAGCUUAGAGGAGUUUUUCUUCUGUUUUGUCGCAUGUUUCCGAUCCUGUGGCUUUAUCUUCCACUGCAUUUGGCAGCCGUAAGAAAUUCACUGGUACCUGUGAUUUUGCCUGAUUUUAAGUUCAAUUGGAAGAAGGCUUCUCCGGAUGCUCUUGCUGUUUCCUCUGAUGACUCUUCACUUAAUCCUCAGAGUGUCACUACCUUCACUCCUCAAUAGUAUUCACAGAUCCUGGACUUGCUGAAUAAGAGUCAAGUUACUGUUGCACCUGCUGUGAAUUGUGCAGAAUUCAAAUCCAGUAGUUGGAACGAGGACCAUAUGUACAAGGAUAUGGAAUAUUUUCUUUUCAAAAUGCUGGGAGAGGAAUUUCAAUUAGAAAGUGAUGCGAUUCAAGAAGUUCUCAAUAGAUGUGGAUGUAACAUGCAAAAGAUGAAGAAGAAGAAAAAGAUAGUUUCCAAUUUUUUCAAAGAGCCGUGAAGGAAUAUAGAGCUACAAUGAAAGAAUAUUAUAAAGCUGUUGUUGAUGUUUUUGCUAAAGGGGAUCAAGAUCAAGCAAACAAAAUUCUCGAAUAGAUAACAUAUAUGUGUAGUUCGUAGAUACUCUUUGCUUCCAAAAGGAUCGAGAUACAAGUUAAAUUAACCUAUUUUUCCUGGGAACUUACGGAUGAAGUAGAUAAAGAGUAGUAAACCGAGUGAAAGGAAGUUUUUCCAAAGUUAAGCUUUGAUGUCAGUUGUUCAACUUUGUUAGCAAUGCGUAUCUGGCUGUAGGAGCUUUGUUUUUUUUAAUUUAAACUUAAAAAUACGAGUUUCGAUAGGCAUUCAGUGUUAGGUAAUUGGGUAUUAAUAUACAAGUUAAAUGACUCCAAUGAAGGAUUUUGGUGUGGCAUAGACAAUUUUUUCAAGAAAAGGCUCACCAAGCAGAUGAAGAAUCCAAUCAAAAGAGUUUUGAAACUCGGAACACCGAGAUAGAAGAAGAAAUGUUGUUCGAGUUGCACGAUCAUGGCAUAAGGGAGGCAAUCCAGCUUUUGAAAUAUCACUUAACUUCACUAGCUGGCUUCCUAUGUAACUUUUUGAUGCUGUAAAAUUUAACAUAUAGAUUAUGACGUAUAAGUUAAUGAUAUCAUGUAACUUUUGUUAAUGUAUGAAAUUAUGUUUGGAUAUAAAAUAUAA